GUGAAGACACAUAUACUAAAAUUGGAACGAUAAGAUUAGCAUGGCCCCUGCGCAAGGAUGACAAGCAAAAUCGUGCAGCGUUCCACAUUUUU
rnacentral:snRNA from 1 species